rnacentral:misc_RNA from 1 species
CUCCAGUCAUCAACAAUUUCUGAUCUCUUCCCCUGGUUGCGAACCCUAUGUUUCUUAGUCCACCUCGUGAAAGUAACCUUUUCAUCCACCUCCACAUCCCUGACUUCUGAUUUGGAGGAAUGGAUAUUCUCCAGUUCCAUAAUAGUUAGCGCAGAUGGAGUGGAAACAGAGAAUGAUGCCCUCCCGCUUGGAGAUGAAUGGUUGCUACCCUCAGGACUCAUUU